rnacentral:rRNA from 1 species
AUCGAUGAAGAACGCAGCGAAAUGCGAUAAGUAAUGUGAAUUGCAGAAUUCAGUGAAUCAUCGAAUCUUUGAACGCAUCUUGCGCUCCUUGGUAUUCCGAGGAGCAUGCCUGUUUGAGUGUCAUUAAUCUCUCAACCACACCAAUCUUUUUGGCUUGGUGUGGCUUUUGGAUGUGGGGGUUUUAUUUUGCUGGCUCCUAUCAAAUGAGGUCAGCUCCCCUGAAACUCAUUAGCGGUAUCUGAGCAGAGAGACCUACUACAGGUGUGAUAAAUUAUCUAUGCCUUGGUCAUACUGCAUGAACAGAUUGUGCUGCUUCCAGUGAAUCAUUUGACAAUUUUGACCUCAAAUCAGGUAGGACUACCCGCUGAACUUAAGCAUAUCAAUAAGCGGAGGAAAAGAAACUAACAAGGAUUCCCCUAGUAACUGCGAGUGAAGCGGGAAAAGCUCAAAUUUGAAAUCUGGCAGUUCUUUUGACUGUCCGAGUUGUAAUCUAGAGAAGUGUUACCUGUGCUGGACCAUGUACAAGUCUUCUGGAAUGGGGCAUCAUAGAGGGUGAGAAUCCCGUCUUUGACAUGGACUACCGGUGCACUGUGGUGCGCUCUCAAAGAGUCGAGUUGUUUGGGAAUGCAGCUCAAAAUGGGUGGUAAAUGCCAUCUAAAGCUAAAUAUUGGCGAGAGACCGAUAGCGAACAAGUACCGUGAGGGAAAGAUGAAAAGAACUUUGGAAAGAGAGUUAAACAGUACGUGAAAUUGCUGAAAGGGAAACGCUUGAAGUCAGUCGCGUCCGUCGGGAAUCAACCUUGCUCUUGCUGGGUGUACUUUCUGUCGGACGGGUCAGCAUCAGUUUCGGUCGCUGGACAAAGUUCUUUGGGAAUGUGGCAUCCUCGGAUGUGUUAUAGCCCUUGGGACACAUGCAGCGGUCGGGAUUGAGGAACUCAGCACGCCCGCGAGGGCUGGGGCUUUUUUGCCCACAUAACUGUGCUUAGGAUGCUGGCGUAAUGGCUUUAAUCGACCCGUCUUGAAACACGG